UACGUAUGAGGCGAGAGUUGUUAGGAAUUAUUGGGCGUAAAGGGCGUGUAGGCGGGGGAUUAAGUUAGGUGUGAAAGCCAGGGGCUCAACCCUUGCAUUGCAUCUAAUACUGGUUCUCUUGAGUUCGGGAGAGGAGAGCGGAAUUCCCGGUGUAGCGGUGAAAUGCGUAGAUAUCGGGAAGAACACCAGUGGCAAAGGCGGCUCUCUGGCCUAGAACUGACGCUAAGGCGCGAAAGCUUGGGGAGCGAACGGG
rnacentral:rRNA from 1 species